GAUUGCUGUUAUUUUUUUAAUAGAAUUAUCUUAUUUCAAACUGAAAGAGUCAUUUUUAAAGAAAGAAAAAUCAAAGUAGAAUUGUAUUGCAUAAAACAUAAAGUACAAAAGACAAUAUUUUAAAUAGACAAAACAAAGGGGUGGAUAAAAAGCUAAAUAAGAAAAAGGUAGUGGCCAAAACAAAUGAGUUGUGAAAUCAGCUAUCAAAUUUGAGCACUCCAUCGUCUCAUAUAAUAAUAAAGAUAUCAAAUUUUAAUAUAUAUCUUCAAUCUUACAAUUUAAUGGUGAAAAAAAAAAAACAAAGAGGCAAAGCAAAUUCGCCAAUAAAACGGCACAAAACAUCGCAGUUUGUCUACUUUAUACUAUUGUCUCUUACCAAAAGUUGAAACUUGGAAACUGAAAGAGGCAAAAGAAGAGCUUGCAAAAUCUGAGAAUUUACUAAAGCUAAAGGCCAAUUUAGAAAAAGAGAUCACAUCCAACAGAGGAAUUAGAAGGAACAAAAAAAUUCCCUAGAUGAAGCUCUUAUAUGGUCAGUAAAAAAACACACACCAAAGAAAUAAGAGAAGAAAAAAAGGCUAAAGAAGAUGAGAGCGUCGUUGUUGCCGACAAAAUCAUCUGCAACGACAACAGACAAAGGUCGAAAAGUGCAGCCGUAGAUAGAAAAUACAAUAUGAAGUGAGAGAGUGCACAAGGAUUCAGAAACUACCAAAUCCCAUUAUGGCAACAACAUCAGGAUCAAUGUCGACUUCCUCUUCUCAGUUGCCUUUCUCUUUCUUUUAAUAUUGCUCUCUUUUUCUUCUGUUGUUGCCACCACCACCGUGAGUGUCACCAUCUGAUCUAAAAAGGUCUGACUUCUCUCUCCCUGUUUCUACAUUUUUCGACGAUCAAAGAUAAGAAACGGGCCGUUGGAUAGCUGUAGAGGACGAGGGAAAGAUCUAGCUGCCGUUUAAUGGUGAUUGGUGGUGGAAACAGCGGUGAAUGGUGACUACAAGUGGUGGCGGCGCUGAUAUGUGCUGGGAGAGGAAGAGAGAGAGAAGGAGGGACCUGGAAAGGAAUUUACUGUAAUGGAAAAAUCCCUUAGGUCCCUAAAUGAAAAAUAAUGCGACAAUGAAAUUCAAUUUUAACAUUUUGUUCA